GACGUAGGGCGCGAGCGUUGUCCGGAAUCACUGGGCGUAAAGGGCGCGUAGGCGGCCUGAUAAGUAGGGGGUGAAAUCCUGCGGCUUAACCGCAGGGCUGCCUUCUAAACUGUCAGGCUCGAGCACAGUAGAGGCAGGUGGAAUUCCCGGUGUAGCGGUGGAAUGCGUAGAGAUCGGGAAGAACAUCAGUGGCGAAGGCGGCCUGCUGGGCUGUUGCUGACGCUGAGGCGCGACAGCGUGGGGAGCAAACAGG
rnacentral:rRNA from 1 species